GGAUGUGUUGUGAAUACACAGGACACUCUGCAAAGGUGUUUUUAGUACUUAAUGUGCUCGCGUCUU
rnacentral:tRNA from 1 species